rnacentral:rRNA from 1 species
GACGAACGCUGGCGGCGUGCUUAACACAUGCAAGUCGAACGGUAAGGCCCUUCGGGGUACACGAGUGGCGAACGGGUGAGUAACACGUGGGUGAUCUGCCCUGCACUUUGGGAUAAGCCUGGGAAACUGGGUCUAAUACCGAAUACACCCUGCUGGUCGCAUGGCCUGGUGGGGGAAAGCUUUUGCGGUGUGGGAUGGGCCCGCGGCCUAUCAGCUUGUUGGUGGGGUGAUGGCCUACCAAGGCGACGACGGGUAGCCGGCCUGAGAGGGUGUCCGGCCACACUGGGACUGAGAUACGGCCCAGACUCCUACGGGAGGCAGCAGUGGGGAAUAUUGCACAAUGGGCGCAAGCCUGAUGCAGCGACGCCGCGUGAGGGAUGACGGCCUUCGGGUUGUAAACCUCUUUCAAUAGGGACGAAGCGCAAGUGACGGUACCUAUAGAAGAAGCACCGGCCAACUACGUGCCAGCAGCCGCGGUAAUACGUAGGGUGCGAGCGUUGUCCGGAAUUACUGGGCGUAAAGAGCUCGUAGGUGGUUUGUCGCGUUGUUCGUGAAAACUCACAGCUUAACUGUGGGCGUGCGGGCGAUACGGGCAGACUGGAGUACUGCAGGGGAGACUGGAAUUCCUGGUGUAGCGGUGGAAUGCGCAGAUAUCAGGAGGAACACCGGUGGCGAAGGCGGGUCUCUGGGCAGUAACUGACGCUGAGGAGCGAAAGCGUGGGGAGCGAACAGGAUUAGAUACCCUGGUAGUCCACGCCGUAAACGGUGGGUACUAGGUGUGGGUUUCCUUCCUUGGGAUCCGUGCCGUAGCUAACGCAUUAAGUACCCCGCCUGGGGAGUACGGCCGCAAGGCUAAAACUCAAAGAAAUUGACGGGGGCCCGCACAAGCGGCGGAGCAUGUGGAUUAAUUCGAUGCAACGCGAAGAACCUUACCUGGGUUUGACAUGCACAGGACGCCGGCAGAGAUGUCGGUUCCCUUGUGGCCUGUGUGCAGGUGGUGCAUGGCUGUCGUCAGCUCGUGUCGUGAGAUGUUGGGUUAAGUCCCGCAACGAGCGCAACCCUUGUCUCAUGUUGCCAGCACGUUAUGGUGGGGACUCGUGAGAGACUGCCGGGGUCAACUCGGAGGAAGGUGGGGAUGACGUCAAGUCAUCAUGCCCCUUAUGUCCAGGGCUUCACACAUGCUACAAUGGCCGGUACAAAGGGCUGCGAUGCCGUGAGGUGGAGCGAAUCCUUUCAAAGCCGGUCUCAGUUCGGAUCGGGGUCUGCAACUCGACCCCGUGAAGUCGGAGUCGCUAGUAAUCGCAGAUCAGCAACGCUGCGGUGAAUACGUUCCCGGGCCU